AGUCUUGGAAUGAAGACUUUAUGCAUCACUAGCUGUGUGCAUGUAUGGUGAGUGACCAAUCUACAACUCAAGGGCAGAUUGUUUUGUCCUUCCCUCCAUUUAGAAACUCUUCACCGGCCUGCUGCCUCCUCAGUUUCUUGCAGUCUAGUCCUGCUUUGUGGGCUUUCAAGACUUACUGAGCAGCAAUAGUGUAACAAUUUCCCAGUUUUUCUUCAAGGGGGAUACUGUUUCCCUUUCUGAGAAGAUAAUCAAUGACCCUCCAAGACUUGAGAGGAGUGACCUGAGUUUAGGAGAUAGUAGAACCCACCUAGAUCAUGGUCGUGCCAGCAAAUCCGUGUGAAUGCCACUGGAUUAAAAGAAGGAAGUUUAGUUGAAUGGUUACUACCCUCAUUCACAGGAGCAGUUAUCGGCACUUCCACUGAGGCAAUGGCAGUGGGAAAAGGAAGGCAAAUAUUUAUUCACCCAUCCAUAAACUCAUAAAAUCUCUAUUCUUUUUUAGGAGUGAGCUGAUGAACUGAACACAAGUUUUGGUGUAAUCAACAAGCUGCCUGGAAUAUGCAUGAACUGCCCUAAUUUUACAGAUGCCUUUACUUCUGAAAGCAUCUUCUGGGAGAGCUUAGCCUUUUCCCUAAGUUUGGAUUUGAAAGCAAGCAGAAUGGAAAUAAGUCCGUGUUGUUCACAUGUGCUUUAGUUUUUGUGCACUUAAAAGUUUUUAAAGAACUUUUUUAAAAAAAAACCUUCUAAUAUAAAUCUUUUGUAAAAGUAA